GUCUAGAGUGGUGUGGGUAAAUGGGCGCACCCAAAGCCGCGAUCGGGUAGCUGGUUCUAGGAGGAUGAUCAGCCAGACUGGGACUGAGUCCACGUCCAGAUCUACGGGAGGCAAGCAGUUAGGAAUUUUGCGCAAUGGGGGAAACCCUGACGCAGCCACGCCGCGUGCGGGAUGAAAGCCUUCGGUCGUAAACCGCCUUUCUCGAGGAAGACACCCGACGGUACUCGAGGCAUAAGCACGGCUAACUACGUGCCAGCAGCCGCGGUAAUACGUAGGUUGCGAGCGUUGUCCGGAUUUACUGGGCGUAAAGCGCACGCAGGGCGGGUCCGAAAGUCGAAUGUGAAAGCUCCCGGCCCAACUGGGAGAGGCCCGUUCGAAACUUCGGGACUUGAAGGCGGGAGAGGCAGAUGGAAUUUCCGGUGUAGCGGUAAAAUGCGUAGAUACCGGAAGGAACACCAGUGGCGAAAGCGAUCUGCUGGCCCGCCCUUGACGCUCAGGUGCGAAAGCUAGGGGAGCGACCGGGAUUAGAUACCCCGUUAGUCCUAGCUGUAAACAAUGGGCACUAGGUGUUGUCGGUAUCGACCCCGGCAGUGCCGAAGCUAACGCAUUAAGUGCCCCGCCUGGGGAGUACGACCGCAAGGUUAAAACUCAAAGGAAUUGACGGGGGCCCGCACAAGCAGCGGAGCGUGCGGUUUAAUUCGAUGGUACGCGAAGAACCUUACCCAGACUUGACAUGCGAGUGGUAGGGACCCGAAAGGGAACCGACCCGCAAGGGAGCUCGUACAGGUGUUGCACGGCUGUCGUCAGCUCGUGUCGUGAGAUGUUGGGUUAAGUCCCGCAACGAGCGCAACCCUCGGGGUCUGUUGUACCUCUCAGACCCGACUGCCGAGAGAAACUCGGAGGAAGGUGGGGAUGACGUCAAGUCAGCGUGGCCUUUAUGUCUGGGGCAACACGCACGCUACAAUCGCCGGUCACAGCGGGUCGCGACAACGCAAGUUGAAGCUAAUCCCUUAAAACCGGCGUCAGUUCAGAUCGGAGGCUGCAACUCGCCUCCGUGAAGUCGGAGUUGCUAGUAACCGCAGGUCAGCACACUGCGGUGAAUAUGUUCCCGGGCCUUGUACACACCGCCCGUC
rnacentral:rRNA from 1 species